CAUAUUUGGCGUUUCCACCUCUCCUUUUAUGGUACUUCCGAGGCCCAAAAAAGGCGCUUCCUGCUUCCACCCUCCCGGGAUUGCGCGGUAGAUUUUCCGGGAGCCCGCUGGCCUGAGAGCCGCCGCUGCCUGGGCGCGGUUCCGCCCUCACCCCGGGGGCGACCUGGCUGGUUCCUUGCACGCAGCGGGCCCUGAAUUGGCUGCGGGCGGCUCUGGGUUUGGGCAGCGUCUGCUUCGCCCAGGGCCCACCAGUAGGCCCGGAGCCUUUCGGACGCCCAACCCGGGGGAUCUGCGGCUGAGGGCCCCGGGCCGUUCCUCGCUCCGCGUUCCGAUAUUUCCAAACAUUCCAUCUGGCUUUUGAGCAGUGAUCUGAUCGCUCCAGUCACUCCAGAAUGUGGAGACAAAGCAGCAAGAGUCGGCAGAAGAGAGGAAAUAUGGCAACAGUGCUAAUCCAGAGCACAGUGUUUGGAGUCACUAUGGCAUGCAACCAAGAGCAUUUGUGGCUGUCCAAUGAUAACCUGAUUGUGAAGCUUUAGGCUUGCUGUUGAGGCUGUCUUGUUUGUCAGGAAUUUGUCUCCAGAGUGAGUUUUUUGAAGAAGGAAGUUCCAGCAAUCAGUCACAUCCAGGUAUGAAAUCCUUUAAUUUGGUUAGAAAAUUGUUAGUUGCUCUCUAUAUGCACACUUAUUGACUAGUUUUGUUCAACACAAAGAGUUGCCACACAAUUAGAUAUCUUCUCAUUUUGUGGAUUACUGAAAGGCAUUUCCUUCUCCCAAAAAAUCUUUGUGUAAGUUACUUCUCUUAAUGAUAUAUGAGCCAUAAUUUCUUCUCAAGCAGAACAGAGAGAGAGAGAGAAAGCACAUCUGAGAAAUGUUCACCUGUCAUUUCACUAUCUCAUUUGGUGUUUUGGAACUAGGACAAUAUGAAGUUUAUGUAGUGGAAAUGCUAAGUUAUGGCCUGAAACAGUGAUUUGAGCACCUGGUGGGAAGGCAAGGCUAACAGGAGAGCUCAGGUGCAAGCAGUGUAUCUGAGUGACUGGAAGGAGCGGAGCCAGGAUCCACCUCUUCCCAGACCUCGUUUAAGGGUUGGCAGUGGAGGUGAGGGCUUCUCUUGCUGGAGGUCUCUGCCUACCUGAGGCCGCUUCUGUUUAGUAUCGUUAUUAAUGAUCUUGAUGAGGGGGUUGAGUUCACUCUCAGUAAGUUUACAUAUGGCACCCGGUUGGGAGGGAGUGUUGAUCUGCCAGAGGGGAGAAAAGCUCAACAGAGGGACCUGGAUGGAAUGGAUCAAUGGGCCAAGGUAAACUGUAUGAGUUUCAAGAGGGCCAGGUGUUGGGUCCUGCAUUUUGGUCACAACAACUCCAGGCAACCCUACAGGCUUGGGGAGGAGUGGCUGAAAAGCUGCCUGAUGGAAAGGGACGUUGGUGUGCUGAUGGACAGCUGGCUGAGUGUGAGCCAGCAGUGUGUCCAUGUGGCCAAGAAGGCCAAUGGCUUCUGGCUUUUAUCAGGAAUGGUGUGGUGAGCAGGACUGGGGAAGUCAUCCUGCUCCUGUGCUCAGCACUGGUGAGGUCUCACCUCGAGUACUGUGUUCAGUGUUGUGCACUUCAGUUUGGAAAGGACAUGCAGGUGCUGCAGCAGGUCCAAAGAAGGGCAACAAGGCUGUGAAGGGCUUGGAGAAUAUGGCCUACGAGGAGAGACUGAAGGAACUGGGGCUGUUCAGUCUGGGGAAGAGGAGGCUGAGGGGAGACCUGAUUGCUCUUCCAAUACCUGUAAGGUGCUUACAGUGAGAGUGGGGCUGGUCUCUUCUCAGUGGUGACAGGAUGAGGGGAAAUGGCCUCAAGUUGUGCCAGGGUAAGUUUAGGUUUGAUAUCGGGAAGAAACUUCUAUACAGAAAGGGCUGUUAAGCACUGGAAUGGGGUCCCCGGGGAGGUGGUUGGGUCACCAUCCCUGAAUGUGUUUAAAAACCAUCUGGAUGCGGUGCUAAGGGACGUGAUUUAGCAGAGGGUUGUUAGAGGUAGGGUAGUAUGGUUAGGUUGUGUUAGGACUUGAUCUUUAAGGCCUUUUCCAACAUGAGCAGUUCUAUGAUUCUCAAGGUAAUAAUCUAUUUUCUGAAGUUUGGUCACUUAUUUUUACUUAAUGCUGAAAACCCACCAAUGGGUAUGGUUCGGAAAUCUGUCCACUUGCUGAAAUCACUGACCAACAUCUUCAGGAGGACCUUGAGCUGAUGUAACUCUGCGAGGAAGUUGUAAGCUGCACUGUACAAUCAGCAACUUGAAAAUGAUUUCAGUUUAAUGGACAGCAAAAUGGCUGCUAGUGGAAGAACAAAAUAAUGCUGCAGGAUCAAAGUGUACUAUUAGGAGAUGAGCAGAAUGAAUUGAGGCCAGUGGCAGUUAGUCAGUGCAGAGUUCCUGGCCUCGGAUCUCACCUGCUCAGACUUGCUGGAGAAUGUUCCUCCAGACUUGGUGGUUUUCCUCCCACUGAAUUCAUACUCUGUUACACUUACUUAGCAUGUAUCCCUAGGAGAUGGUUGUAGAAGGAAAAGGAACAAGAUCUGAAGCAUUUUAAAAGCAAACAAAGGAGCAUAAAGGAAAACUCACACCAAACUGCGCUGACCCAAUGAAGGCAGCAGACUGAAUGGUGGAAGGCCUUGAGAAUUGUUUUGUUGUUCACUUGUGGUUACAUUGGUCAUGAACUUGCACACCUUAAUUUCUCACACUUUGGAUGCUGUAGCAGAGGGUGGAGGGGAGAUUUCAGAGCAGGAAAAGUACUCUGGCCGCUUGGUGUUGGUUGGCUGAUGGAGGCCCCCUCUGUCACUUUGCUGACGAUUAAUUUCACCAAAGCUCAGUGGCAUCGCUGAUGCAGCGGUUCCUUUUUUCAUUCAGGCUGGAGAUCCGGUCUCCUUUUCCUUUGCUCUGAAUAGCACGGCGCUAGGCUUAACCUGGAGUGGCAUUCUGAGCUGUGGCAGUGAAGUUCAGUUCUGAAGGAGGCUCCAACUCUCAGGCUGGUGCUGGCAGCAACAAGUGCCAUCGUUCUGAGUAUGUAGAGGCAGUGAGGCAGCAAAAUAGAAAACAGGUGUUGGGGCUUGAAGCUCAGUUCAGAAAGAAAGGGGUUUUCAAGCAUCGUCAGGACGCUACCAGCUCUGAUAGUAAUCACUGCUCAGAGUGGUCAGUCCUCCUAGGGUUCUCAACAAACUCAGGAAUUUGGGGACAGCAUGGAGAACUCCCUACUCCAACGAAUGACAUUCCUCUUCAUCAGCCCAGACGUACCUUACCUCUGUCUUUUCUACAUGUAAGAAAGCAGCCUCUCUGGUGCAACUUUUUCCAGUGUUGCUUACUUUGGAAUGUGUAAGUGUGGAAUCUGUCCCUCUCUGUCCUUUGCAUGAUGUCAUUUCUCACAGCAAAAAGCUUUCUAAGGAGAACAAGCAGCAGCUCUGACAUGAUGACGCUGAACAAGCAAAAGGGAGACUUGAAAGCUUUGAGCAAAGAGAAGGGGGGGGAAGAAAGCUGGAAGCCUGUCAACAUCUUUUCUACUUCCUUAGUAGGUACGCAGCUUCUCUUGGCAAGCUGACUUUUUCAGAUGCCUAAAAGCAAAUGCAGAGCUCAUGGAUUUGGUCAUCUUCACGCUGUGUAACUGUGUGUCCAGACGAAGAGAGGAAUAUCUGCUGUGUCAGCUUUCCCAAACAGCGCUUCUGGAGGAGAUCAGAUCUGAGCUGUGCUCUGGAACAGAAUGUACAGCUGGAUCUAGAACAGUUGCCAAAGAGGAGUCUGCGGACAAACGGUGCUGCAUUUCCCAGAGGGAGGUCAUCGAGCUCCUUGCCUUCUCGCAAAGUGUUCUUGUAUUUUUCUUAAACAGCAUUGCAUGUUACUGCUGUACCGAGACUUUUAUGACAACUCCAUUAUCUGUUUCCCAAAGGUGAUGCUGAGAAACACGUCUCAUGCAUACCUCACGUUUUGUAUUAAUUCUUCCUUUGGGUCAAAAGCAGACCAAAUCCUUGAAAGGAGGCUGAAAUAAAACUGAGUAACUGUCUCACUGUUAUUAAAAUAGUUUGGCUGUGGUUCCUGUGGUCAGAAUGCCCUGUGGCAGCUCCUGGCACCACUUGUGAAUGAAAGAAUUGAUGACAAAUUGCUUGAUAUCACGACCGAUCUGGUGGAUAUUUACAAGCCUUGGGGGAUCCAGACAGGAUCUCAGAGUGGUGAGGCCAGGUCUGGAAGCUGCUACUACAGUGUUUCUUCUAAGUGUUGCUCAGCUCUUUUGCAUUGCUCUUAUGAGAGGUAGAUUGUGGUUUUGUAGUAGAAGCUUCCAGUAUUUUCUGUAUGUAGUAUAGGUCUAUGCUGAACUUACAACCCUUUUGUGAAAUAGCAGUUUUCCUUCCGCUAAGUAAGUUGCUAAACAGAGUAAAAAGUUAAGAUCUGGGGCAUUCUGAUGGGGGUAGAACUGAGCCAGGCACAAAAUAAGGCAAAUACGCAGGGUGGAGAGAGCAGGACAGAACAAACGUGCUCAUUCUUGGAAUUGUUGCCCUCCAUGGAAGAGUACAAAACAUACCCAAGAAACAACAGGUUGGUAAUGGACCUUAUGUGGAAAUGAGUCACAGCAGCAGCGUUGGAGAGCUUGUGAACCUGAGAUGCGAGCGCCAGGAGAGCAUUGCCUGCGUCGGGUUCAAGUGUAUAGAACAGAAUGAAUUUUGAAGACUGGUGUGCAAUUACUCCCUUGCUAACGGGGGUGUGCGCCCGUUACUGCAAUAAUAAAUGAACCUUGUUGCUAUCAGUAAGAUCCUUGUCUAACCUGAAAUUUUUGACUUGCAGUGUUUCUCACAAACGUGUAACAAAAAUCAGGUUUGGUUAAUUGUUCCAAGCCAUCCUGGGCUUGGCUGCACACAUCUGUCCGAUUGAUACCAUUUUUUUUUUUUUUAUUGCCUCAGGCUCUGUCUGGAAAAAAGCCAAAUAAUAAAAAGCAUGACAACAUCAA